GUUGUAUCAGUGUCAUGUGAUGCUCUGGUCCAUUGUUGCAAUGCUGAGCUUUCAGUGUCUAAUGCUUUCCUGAGUGUAAGGCAUCUCUGAAUGCUUUAUGAACCCCGAACACACCAGGCAGUAUGGAAUCCUGGGCAGACUCAAGAAUGACAACUGUGAAUUAGUAACAAGCAGCACUGAGACAGGGGUUCUUUAAAUGGAUAAAAGAUGUUUGGCCAGGUGGCUAAAAGAAGCAGAGCACCAGUGAAAUGAGAUGGCAUCAGGAGAGGUGAAAAGAGAAAGCACUAGCUGAUUUGGAAUCAGAAGCAUGGAAUUGUCUCCUGCAUUUCAUACAGGUGAAAUAUAGGCUAUGGGAGGACACAGGGAGGUGCAAUAGGAGCCAGUCUGCUUCUCCUGAGGAUUCAGAGUGUCCAGAGGCUGGCACAGCACAGUGCCUGCUGCUCCUCCUGCGCUCCUGGCCUCUGCUCCUUGAAAGGCCAGUGCAAAGCCUGGUAAUGGAGCUCCCCAUGCCCACUGCCAGGAUGGCAUUCCUGCUCCUCUCACUCCAGCAGCGAAACAGGACCCAGGCUAUGAAGGGAAGUUCUUUCCCAUCUGUGUAAAGGACAAUUUUCUGCAUCUUUAUCAGAUAACUGGGUUAGUGAUAGGGUAAAAGUGACAAAUUAUAUGGGAGACUAGUUUUAACAAGAGAUUUCAGAGAUUACCCAUAAUUUUUUUUCUGAGCAAAACACACACUAUUUUAUAACUUUCAAGUAAUUGCUCAGACUAAUCUCAGUUUCUCACUGGGAGAACUCAGGAGACUCAGAUGAAAUAGUAUUUGGUUGCCAGUGCAUUUAAUAAUGUUUAAUGGCAUAUUAUUUCUUACAACAAGUACCAAACUUGUUAUUUUUACUUCUCUACCAUAAGAAAAAUGACACUCUUUUUGAACACUGCAAGACUACAAUUGUUGCACAGCAUUUUUACCUCUGUUUGUCUGCAUCUUCAAAUCAGAAGUGAGGUGAAGGAAGCAGCUGACGUGAAGCAAAAUGACAGUGCAUAGUUUGACCACAGAGAAAGUCACAGCUAAGAUUAGAGAGUAAAGCCUCACCCAAAUCUUUGGUAAUAAUGCUAUGUCCUGCUGAUACGCUUUGUUGUCCUGUUGUUUCCCUAUGUAGAUCAUCUUCUACUUGCUGAAAUCUGAGUCAGUCCAAGGAGAAGUGGUGGUGAUUUAGGUCCCUCUGAGCAUGCAUUAUUGGUGUUUCCUGGUCUGCCUGACCCUGUGAACAAGCUGUGAUUGGUGAGGUGCAUUGCCGUGCUCUGAGGAGGCCAUCGGGACUUUCUCAGUAAUUCCAGUGAAAGCUGCAUCAAGAACAGGGGCUGAACCUCAGCUGAGGUGUCUGCAGGACGAGCUGCUGGCAGCUCUGAUCCUAAGGAGUGAAGGAGGAACCCUCCAAGUAGGAUCAGAGAGGCAGAAGGGAGAUGUGUGAAGUCAGACGAUCUGCAGUCUGGUAUGAGGGCUGGCAGUAGUAGGCACGAGGGUGGAGGAGACUGGACAGUGGCUGGGAAUGCUCUCAACACACUUUCGUUGUAACAGGCCUUGCCUGCAGCUUCACUGUGGUCACCUUGGUUUGCAGUGCUCAGUGCACACCAACUCAAGUCCACCCUCUGUGGCCCCAGGUUGGGGCUGGGUCACCAUUUGGCACAGACCUAGACGUAUGAAAGCAGAACAGAAUGUGGGAAAAACCUGCAGAUGAAGGAAGAUUUCUCCCUCGAGAGUCCAGUAAGAGGAGCAACAAGUAGUUUACUGAACUACUCAUGAAUCUUUCCAGCUUUUAAGCUCUGGAAACUUGUUUCAGACAGUAUUGUUUAAAUAAAGCUGGGAUUCUAUGGUUUAGUUGAACCAACUCUCUUAUCUCCGUGAUUCUUAGUUUAUUCUUGUUAGGAAAAAGUUUAUACUAACUCUAAAGAAGCUACUUGUCAGAAACAUAAUUUUAAAGUUAUUUAGGGAGACUGCAUAAACUUUCUUGAAUUAUGGGCUUAACCACACAAGGAAAUACAUCUGGAACAGUUUAGGCUGCACCUACUAUACUGUAAUAGCUAUUUUGCCUAGAUAUUCUGUAUGGAUUCAGGGGGCAUUUUAUCAAUGUGUAUAAAUACCUGAAGGGAGGGUGCAAAGAGGAUGGAGCCAGGCAUUUUUCAGUGGUAUCCAGUGACAGGACAAGGGCCAGUGGGCACAAAUGUGAACACAGAAGGUUCUGCACAAACACCAGGAAGAACUUAUGUGCUGUGUGGGUGACGGAGCACUGUCAAAGGUUGCCCAGCAAGGCUUUGGAGUCCCCUCUUUGGAGAUCUUCGAAGUCUGCCAGGAUGUGGGCCUUGGCAACGUGAGCAGGGCUUGGACCAGAUGGACCCAGAGAUCCCUGUCAGCCUCAGCUGGUCUGUUAUUCUGUGAAAUUCAGCACUACUUGUAGAAAGGGUAAAAGAAGGUUGAAGCAGCUAUCAAGUGUCUGCUGAAGGAUAUAUUAAUUCUCUAAAUUUGUGAAAAAUUCUUAGCAAUAUGUAGCAAGGUUGUAGGUAGAUGUUUUCAUGUGUCAUGCUAGGAUGCAUGUGAGAAUGUGUGGGAAAUCUCAGAGGGAAUUGCUACAUAUGGUCUAGAUCAUUUCAUAUUAGUUUAUAAGAACGGUUUAUGAGCAACUUUAUUAAAGAAAUAUUAACAAAAAGGUCACAGGAAGACUGUUUGUUGGUGGUGGUUUCUUUUUUUUUGUUUGUUUGUUUUCUUUUUUUGGUAUAUGUUUCAGUUGUUCUGUUGUUUUAGUCAUUUUGGAAAACUCUAGGGGAUCAGUUCACAAAGUGCCCACACUGGCAUCCAGAGAUGGCAGAGUGCUGGUAGCAGUUCGCUCAUCGUUGGGUGCCACAGAGAGGCUCGAGUACUCUACAUGCCAUAGUAAAGCCACUACAUUGGCCAGUGGAGCUGAAAAAUUGGGAGGUGCUGAGUCAAGGCUUCCAGACAGUGAUUUAACGUGUCUCUCAUCAGCAAGUUUCAGCCCACCCACUGUAAAAAAAUCACUGACAAGGGCAUUAAUGCCAAACUGUUUAUGCUUUCUGAUAUCCCUUGAGCACAACAGCCUUUAGUAACAUUAAGAUUUUUCAGCUGUUUCUCUCAUGUCAGCAGGUGUGAAUUACAGCACUGUAAUUUAAAAUAACAGACACAUAGUGUGAAGUCUAAAAUAAUGAGAAAUCUAGAGCAACUGUACAAGCAGAUGGUUUUAUAGGCCAGCAUUCAAAAGAAGAUAUAAUGUUAUUCAGUCUUGAAUUUAAAAAGACAAGGAUCCUUUGAACUCAUCCAGCUACUGGGCAGCCUUCAUUACAAACAAUGAGUUUAGGAUCUUUGCCAAACUAUUAAUAUCCUUCUUCAGAAUUGUUCAGAACAAACACUAAGAUCUUAAGCGUCUUGAACAAAGCUAUUUCCACACAACCACACAGCUAAUAUUGAUGCUAAGAGACUGACUAGAUCUCAUUUAUGACAAUCGAAAAUGCUUUUGGCUGCAUUAUUUAGAGGUGCUAGGCUAAGCUGGCUUUAGCCAGACCUUUGUUCAACAUAACAAUUUUAGUAUGGUGUAUAGCAUCUAUUCAGUUCCAAGAGAAUUCAUUGUUUCUUUACAAUUUCAGAGGAGUGACCAGCCAGCAGUGCUUCUCCUGUCCUUAACAGGACUCCAGGAAGUGGAUAUAAACAAGCAGUUAGAAAUGAGAGAUCAUCUCUCGCAUUCCCAAUAAGCCUUGGCCUUUCCAGUGAUGCGAAGGGCAAUUACUGUAAUUUUUACCCUCCAUGAAGUGCAGGUGAGUCAUAGUAGUAAAGAACUUGUACCUUUUUCUGUAUCUAAGUCUGCCAAACCUGAGCUCUUGAUUGGCAAUACUACAGCUAUCACGCAUUUAGCUGAAGACUGUGUGAAACUGGUGGUUAAAACAUAACUUUCCCAGCACAGAUUGCCUUUCUUGAGUAAGCAAUUAUUUUGUCAGAAUUUAGUUCCUUUAGAUCUUUUGUGACAAUACUGAGGUAUUGAGAAAAUUGUGGUUUUUGUGUUACGGUUCUGAAUGCUGGCUGAGGAGAAAUGGAUUUGUUUAUCAGUUCUGCUCCAGAUUUCCCUAUGACCAUGAACAAGUCAGUUUACUUCUUUGUCUGUGAAACCUGAAGAGAAAGCAGUCCUGAGCUCUUAACUCUUGGCCAGAACAUUUUCUGGCAAUUCUGGAUCCUCUAAAAGUCGUGGUCAAACAGAAAAUGGUGGAAUUGAAGGGAUGCACUAAGCUCCUUCAAUUCUAGUGAGAUGGAAAGUAGGAAAAGUUGAAUAACAAAGGAAGUAUUUUUAAAAGGUAAGCAGAAAUAUUUUUACAGCUAUUGUACACUUCCUUUCAUUUUCUGUUGUUACAUAUAGUCCGACUUUUCUCGCAUGACUCUGUCUUGCUUUUUAAUUGGUCAUUACGAACCGUUUAGCUCUUACAGGCAUUGAUCUAAGGAAAAUUUACAGAAAAAAUCAAUCUUUUCAGUCUUCAUAUUUACAGUACUAUCUGUCUAUUCCUCCUAGUGUAUUUCUCAUGCUCAGUGUGUUUUCUUUUCCUUUUAUCUUGAAACUAAAAUUAAAAGCCCUCAUUGACAGGAAAUAUAGGUAUAUUUGCUAGUAUGCACAGCAAUCAAGGAUUAUAGCUUCUCUUCCAGUAAUGCUUUGCUCUAUUACCCAAACAUAGCACAUUCCUACCAGCCUUGGCAGUGUCUGGGCCCUUAGUGAGGUUGGUCAUUACAUCCCCAUGGGGGCAUUGUGGAAAUGAAUUGCUGAAUUCAUUUCAUAGCUCUUAAUCAUACUAAGAAAUGUGGUAACAUUUUAUCCUAAACAUUUUUUUCUCUCAGGAUUUCCCUCCCUCUGGAUAUAUUCCUGCUGCCUUAUGGCAUCAUCCGCAGUCCACUGACAGUUCAACUCAGUGGGAGUUUUCCCAUUGAUUCCAUUAUUUACUUUGUUUCACUUGGUGUUAUUGAUUCAUAUUUGCUUUAGCUCAGACCCUUAGGCUAAACACUUCUAAAAGGUGAAACUCCUUCUGUCAGGAACAUCUCAUUUUCAGCAAGAGAUGACAUUUCCGAGACUGGAAAUAUUAAUGUGGACCUGAAUCAAGGAAAACAAAAACCUAUAGAUUCCUGCUUACUCAGCACAUUUUAUACCUCUUAGAAAGACAUAUGCACCCAGAUUUACAUUUUUAUUUAUCUCUUAAUUUAAUCCUUCGGUGGUUGAAGCACUGAAUCUUUCUUGUUGUGUUUUUUUUUUCCUCCUUGAGCCUUCAGUCUCCUGUUUCUCCUCAAUCACUGCAGCAAGCUAAACACAGGCAUCUGCUGCUCAGGAAAUAUUUUGUGAUUUUCCUACUAUCUGCAGGUGGCUGCAUUUGGCUGCAUUUCUCAGCCUUACUGCUUCCAUAUUUCUCUGAUGGAAAGAUACUGCAGCAAUAGCAUAGAGAGUGGUUUGGAGAAAUAAAUACCUGUCGGAAAAUUCACACUUCCUCUGAAUAUAGUUCCCUGGAUAUUUUCCCUCCCACAAAGUAUUUUGUGUUUUUUGUUUUUUCUUUUUUUUUCACCCCUUGUUUACAUGGAGAGGAAAAUGGGAGGUUUUUUAAUAUUCAUUUUAUUUAUUUACUUAUUUGGAUUGAAGGGCAGUAGAGUGAGUAGUAGGUUAGUAUCUGGGACAUUCACAAUGCAUACAGAGAUCCCUAUGAAUCUACUUCAGCCCACGGCCUAGAACCUGUCCUUUCCACACCUGAUCUGAGUACAGAACCACUUGGUCACUUUGGAGCAGAGCUCUCUUCUAGCUCUCAUAACAAAAAAAUCAGUGUUCCCCUACUCUAUGCCUAUAAGUUUUCCAGUGUGUUUAUACAACAAUUAUGUUGCUCUAAUUAAUCAAGAUCUGAUGCAUCAUUUUCUCUCCCAACUUAGUUUCUGUCUAAAUUUGAUUUCUGCCUCUAGUGCUGAUUUGUCCUGUGCCUGUUAUUUGACACAUAUCUCUGCUGCCCAAUUGCCUGCAAAACAGGGAUGAGACAUCCUUGUUUUCCCUGGGAUGCCUUCCUAUUAUUAUAAUGACUGAAUUCUGAUGUAAAUGUGUAAAUAGAUGGAAGAAUGCUAAAUAUUGCUCAAACAAAAAACAAUAUUCAUACAGAUACACCAUCAUGUUCUGGGCUGAAUGGAAUUCCAUCUUAAAUAAGCACAUAGUUCAUUACUUUUGCUUUCUAUACUGCAAUAAAGAUGGUUUUGCACCUCUGAUGACAA